rnacentral:rRNA from 1 species
UACGUAGGGGGCAAGCGUUGUCCGGAUUUAUUGGGCGUAAAGAGCGUGUAGGCGGCCAAGCAGGUCAGCUGUGAAAACUCGAGGCUCAACCUCGAGACGUCGGUUGAAACCGUUUGGCUAGAGUCCGGAAGAGGAGAGUGGAAUUCCCGGUGUAGCGGUGAAAUGCGCAGAUAUCAGGAGGAACACCAAUGGCGAAGGCAGCUCGCUGGGACGUGACUGACGCUGGAGGAGCGAAAGCGUGGGGAGCAAACAGG